CGGGAACGCGGCCGUGAGGGUGUGGGGUGUAGGUCCGCCAGGCCUGCAACGGCUGCCGAGGGUCGUGGGAUGCGCUCGCCGCGUCCCUGCUCAGGCGGAGGGAGCCCGGCCCGCCGCCAGGGUCUCGAGUCCGGGUCCAGGCAGGCGUGGAGGUGGCGGGAACGGCGCACCGCCCGGGAGUAUGACAACUUUUCAACUUGAGUGCACACACUGUCCCCGGAAUCCCGCGUUCCAGGGAGGAAGCGCCUUUGACAGCGCGCGCCGGUUCGUGGGGCCCGACGGCGUGGGCCUGUGGUUGCGGACCUGGCGGAGAUGCGCGUUCGCUUCGAUUGUAGGCCAUUCCUUUUAGGAGCUGAGAAAGGAUCCGUUUUUACAGCAUUCUCGACCUGUGAUUCUUGGUGGGGGAAACUAGUUAUGUGGAUAAAAAUACAGUUAGCAAAAUAAAAAUGCCAAUUUUACAUUUCCUU
rnacentral:lncRNA from 1 species